CCCUAUUUUCACUCUCAUUCUCCAUCAUCUCUCCAAAAGCGCUGCAACCCUCUCCUCUGCAUCCUUUCUAGUUCCGGUUAGAAGCAGGAGGUGGAGGACCACUAGUUAACGCCCCUUCCCUCUCAUCUACUCUCUCCCGCGAGAAAGCAAUAGUCAUCUACUGGUGAAACAACAAGCAAUUCUGACGACGCGAGCCAUCGGCGAGAGCGCGAAACCAAUAUCAGUUGCGACCGGCGAAGAGCUCCAGCAAAGCAACAACACUUUGGCAAGUAGUCGCGAGCCACCACCAACAGCAGUUGUGGCCAAUCACCAGCGAAACUCCAUGGGAACGAUAGCUUCGACCAGCGACGCAACAACAACGACGAGGUUGUUCAAGCUUAAAAUCCCAGUCAUGAAGACAAAUGUUCAACAAAUACAUCUAGAUAAGUUUUCGAUUAAUUCGAAAGCCUGCAUUUUCAAUUCUUUGGUGAUUUUCAUUUAAGUGGAUGUAAAAUCCGACCUUGGAGCUUUUAGAAGGCCUUUGAAGACUACUUGCUCACCUUCCGAGGAUGAUGUCAUUAUUAAGCUAUUGAUGUUGUUCUAGUUAAAACGCUCCUAGUUCUUUCCUUUUCAUUUGAGAUUGUCUGUUAUAUAAGCCUAUAUGAGGCUCUUUAUUGGGUUAAGCACAAUUGUUGUAUUCAUUUUAGAUGGUUUUAAUAUGAGACGUAUUCUAGACUUCUUAUAAA